rnacentral:rRNA from 1 species
UACGAAGGGUGCAAGCGUUGUUCGGAAUUACUGGGCGUAAAGCGUGCGCAGGCGGUUAUUUAAGUCAGGUGUGAAAGCCCUGGGCUUAACCUAGGAAUUGCGCUUGAGACUGGAUAGCUUGGAGUGCGGCAGAGGGAGGUGGAAUUCCACGUGUAGCAGUGAAAUGCGUAGAGAUCGGAAAGAACACCAACGGCGAAAGCACUCUGCUGGGCCGACACUGACACUGAGAGACGAAAGCUAGGGGAGCGAAUGGG